UGGAGAUGGAUACUCUUGGUGUCCUGUAUC
rnacentral:piRNA from 1 species